rnacentral:lncRNA from 1 species
AUUUUCCUCCUAAUUUAGUUGCGUAGAAGAAAGAUCGGACUCUGGUCGCCAUGAUUCGAACCCGGGUUCCAAACGUUCGUAACCUAAGACGCUAACAACUGCGCUGCCGUCGUUUUGCUUUUGUGUAACGUUCAUCGACCAGUAGAUAAUAUUACAUGUGCGUAUUUUUCAUAAUAAACAAUGAAUUUCGGUUGUGGAGUGGUUCAGGCAAAAGUACCGGUACGCGACGAUACGACAUAGCCAUGCAAUAUUUUGUGUGUCGGAAUUACAUUUUUUAGGUUUACAAUUUGUAACUUAAAUUUAAGUGGCUGUAGAGCGGUGCUUAUAUACGAUAUUGUUCUUUUUUCUAUCUCCGUCCUGAAAACCUGGUCGCAAAAACAGGACAGUUCUGCGCUGCCGUCGUCCUACACCAUAAUUCAUUAGAAAGACCUCAGGGCUUCCUAUUCGAGGAAACGAUCAGUUCAUCUCCUAAUGGAACGUAUCAAAUAUAGGAGUGCCGCCCAAUAGAGGGACAGGACGUGAUAUUUAAUCCAUUUGCGCCUAUAAACGUAAAGCAGCAUUCAUCUCUGUAACUAUGCUUGUGCACACGUUAAACGUUGCAUCCAUUUGUUGAGUUGCUGAGAGAGUAACAGAUUUAAAAAAGUUUCAAUUUUUAGACAUUUUUAAAAAGUAACCAAAAAUGUCUUCUUUCUUAAGCAUCAUAGUUAUCCAAUAAAAUUACACUAUUUAACAGAAACAAGGUCAUAACUUAAGAUAGCAAAUACUUUGGUUCCAUUCUUUAAGCGUUAUUUUGAAAACUAUGAAUUUGCAUGACUAUCCGCUCUCUGGUUAUACAUUUCCUAGCAACAUUCUUUCAAAAAAUCUAUGUCGUGUAUUUGAAGAUGAAAAGAUUCUAUGAAUCAAGGAGAAGCCAAGUUCUUAUUUCGUAUUUUUAUAAAUUAUUUCUUUAAGGGAAAGAAAGUGAAAAAUGUGUUAAAGGAUAGAAGGGGAAUUUUGAAAGUAGAUUUAAAAAGAUAAAUAGACCAAAGAAUAUAAAAACUGUCUAUAUAAAACUGUCUGUGUAGUUUGCUUAGGGAUCAUUGAUGAAUAUUGGAUUCAGUUGUCACAAUAGAAUUAUUGAUGAUUAUAUUUA